rnacentral:rRNA from 1 species
AUUGAACGCUGGCGGCAUGCCUUACACAUGCAAGUCGAACGGCAGCACGGGUGCUUGCCCCUGGUGGCGAGUGGCGAACGGGUGAGUAAUACAUCGGAACAUGUCCUGUAGUGGGGGAUAGCCCGGCGAAAGCCGGAUUAAUACCGCAUACGAUCUACGGAUGACAGCGGGGGACCUUCGGGCCUCGCGCUAUAGGGUUGGCCGAUGGCUGAUUAGCUAGUUGGUGGGGUAAAGGCCUACCAAGGCGACGAUCAGUAGCUGGUCUGAGAGGACGACCAGCCACACUGGGACUGAGACACGGCCCAGACUCCUACGGGAGGCAGCAGUGGGGAAUUUUGGACAAUGGGCGAAAGCCUGAUCCAGCAAUGCCGCGUGUGUGAAGAAGGCCUUCGGGUUGUAAAGCACUUUUGUCCGGAAGGAAAUCCUUGGCCCUAAUACGGUCGGGGGAUGACGGUACCGGAAGAAUAAGCACCGGCUAACUACGUG